GGGUUGUGAGGUUAAGCGACUAAGCGUACACGGUGGAUGCCCUGGCAGUCAGAGGCGAUGAAGGACGUGCUAAUCUGCGAUAAGCGCCGGUAAGGUGAUAUGAACCGUUAUAACCGGCGAUUUCCGAAUGGGGAAACCCAGUGUGACUCGUCACACUAUCAUUAACUGAAUCCAUAGGUUAAUGAGGCGAACCGGGGGAACUGAAACAUCUAAGUACCCCGAGGAAAAGAAAUCAACCGAGAUUCCCCCAGUAGCGGCGAGCGAACGGGGAGGAGCCCAGAGCCUGAAUCAGCAUGUGUGUUAGUGGAAGCGUCUGGAAAGGCGCGCGAUACAGGGUGACAGCCCCGUACACAAAAGCGCAUGUGCUGUGAGCUCGAUGAGUAGGGCGGGACACGUGGUAUCCUGUCUGAAUAUGGGGGGACCAUCCUCCAAGGCUAAAUACUCCUGACUGACCGAUAGUGAACCAGUACCGUGAGGGAAAGGCGAAAAGAACCCCGGCGAGGGGAGUGAAAAAGAACCUGAAACCGUGUACGUACAAGCAGUGGGAGCCCCACCACCAAAGCAUUCUCUGGUGUUGAAGGCCCUGCAAAGCAGCAUCGCGGUGGCGGAGCGUCGUUUGCGACGCCCAACACACAAAACAAGCGGUGAGUGCUUUGGGGUGGGGUGACUGCGUACCUUUUGUAUAAUGGGUCAGCGACUUAUAUUCUGUAGCAAGGUUAACCGAAUAGGGGAGCCGGAGGGAAACCGAGUCUUAACCGGGCGUUAAGUUGCAGGGUAUAGACCCGAAACCCGGUGAUCUAGCCAUGGGCAGGUUGAAGGUUGGGUAACACUAACUGGAGGACCGAACCGACUAAUGUUGAAAAAUUAGCGGAUGACCUGUGGCUGGGGGUGAAAGGCCAAUCAAACCGGGAGAUAGCUGGUUCUCCCCGAAAGCUAUUUAGGUAGCGCCUCGUGAAUUCAUCUCCGGGGGUAGAGCACUGUUUCGGCUAGGGGGCCAUCCCGGCUUACCAACCCGAUGCAAACUGCGAAUACCGGAGAAUGUUAUCACGGGAGACACACGGCGGGUGCUAACGUCCGUCGUGAAGAGGGAAACAACCCAGACCGCCAGCUAAGGUCCCAAAGUCAUGGUUAAGUGGGAAACGAUGUGGGAAGGCCCAGACAGCCAGGAUGUUGGCUUAGAAGCAGCCAUCAUUUAAAGAAAGCGUAAUAGCUCACUGGUCGAGUCGGCCUGCGCGGAAGAUGUAACGGGGCUAAACCAUGCACCGAAGCUGCGGCAGCGAACGUAUCACCCAAGACAACUUUACGGAGUUGACGAUUGACGGAGCGAAGCGACGUCAAAGCGUUCAUUAAAGUCGAGUUGGCUUAGGGAUACGUUCGUUGGGUAGGGGAGCGUUCUGUAAGCCUGUGAAGGUGUGUCGUGAGGCAUGCUGGAGGUAUCAGAAGUGCGAAUGCUGACAUAAGUAACGAUAAAGCGGGUGAAAAGCCCGCUCGCCGGAAGACCAAGGGUUCCUGUCCAACGUUAAUCGGGGCAGGGUGAGUCGACCCCUAAGGCGAGGCCGAAAGGCGUAGUCGAUGGGAAACGGGUUAAUAUUCCCGUACUUGGUGUUACUGCGAAGGGGGGACGGAGAAGGCUAUGUUGGCCGGGCGACGGUUGUCCCGGUUUAAGCGUGUAGGUGUGUGUUCCAGGUAAAUCCGGUUCACUUUAACACUGAGGCGUGACGACGAGGCACUACGGUGCUGAAGCAACAAAUGCCCUGCUUCCAGGAAAAGCCUCUAAGCAUCAGGUAACAUCAAAUCGUACCCCAAACCGACACAGGUGGUCAGGUAGAGAAUACCAAGGCGCUUGAGAGAACUCGGGUGAAGGAACUAGGCAAAAUGGUGCCGUAACUUCGGGAGAAGGCACGCUGACAUGUAGGUGAAGUGAUUUACUCAUGGAGCUGAAGUCAGUCGAAGAUACCAGCUGGCUGCAACUGUUUAUUAAAAACACAGCACUGUGCAAACACGAAAGUGGACGUAUACGGUGUGACGCCUGCCCGGUGCCGGAAGGUUAAUUGAUGGGGUCAGCGCAAGCGAAGCUCCUGAUCGAAGCCCCGGUAAACGGCGGCCGUAACUAUAACGGUCCUAAGGUAGCGAAAUUCCUUGUCGGGUAAGUUCCGACCUGCACGAAUGGCGUAAUGAUGGCCAGGCUGUCUCCACCCGAGACUCAGUGAAAUUGAACUCGCUGUGAAGAUGCAGUGUACCCGCGGCAAGACGGAAAGACCCCGUGAACCUUUACUAUAGCUUGACACUGAACAUUGAGCCUUGAUGUGUAGGAUAGGUGGGAGGCUUUGAAGCGUGGACGCCAGUCUGCGUGGAGCCGACCUUGAAAUACCACCCUUUAAUGUUUGAUGUUCUAACGUGGACCCGUGAUCCGGGUUGCGGACAGUGUCUGGUGGGUAGUUUGACUGGGGCGGUCUCCUCCUAAAGAGUAACGGAGGAGCACGAAGGUUGGCUAAUCCUGGUCGGACAUCAGGAGGUUAGUGCAAUGGCAUAAGCCAGCUUGACUGCGAGCGUGACGGCGCGAGCAGGUGCGAAAGCAGGUCAUAGUGAUCCGGUGGUUCUGAAUGGAAGGGCCAUCGCUCAACGGAUAAAAGGUACUCCGGGGAUAACAGGCUGAUACCGCCCAAGAGUUCAUAUCGACGGCGGUGUUUGGCACCUCGAUGUCGGCUCAUCACAUCCUGGGGCUGAAGUAGGUCCCAAGGGUAUGGCUGUUCGCCAUUUAAAGUGGUACGCGAGCUGGGUUUAGAACGUCGUGAGACAGUUCGGUCCCUAUCUGCCGUGGGCGCUGGAGAACUGAGGGGGGCUGCUCCUAGUACGAGAGGACCGGAGUGGACGCAUCACUGGUGUUCGGGUUGUCAUGCCAAUGGCACUGCCCGGUAGCUAAAUGCGGAAGAGAUAAGUGCUGAAAGCAUCUAAGCACGAAACUUGCCCUGAGAUGAGUUCUCCCUGAGACUUUAAGUCUCCUGAAGGAACGUUGAAGACGACGACGUUGAUAGGCCGGGUGUGUAAGCGCAGCGAUGCGUUGAGCUAACCGGUACUAAUGAACCGUGAGGCUUAACCUUACAACGCCGAAG
rnacentral:rRNA from 1 species